UACGAAGGGGGCUAGCGUUGUUCGGAAUUACUGGGCGUAAAGGGCGCGUAGGCGGUGUGUCAAGUCAGGCGUGAAAGCCCUGGGCUCAACCUGGGAAGUGCAUUGGAUACUGGCAAACUUGAGUACGGGAGAGGAUAGUGGAAUUUCGAGUGUAGGGGUGAAAUCCGUAGAUAUUCGAAGGAACACCGGUGGCGAAGGCGGCUAUCUGGACCGAUACUGACGCUGAGACGCGAAAGCGUGGGGAGCAAACAGG
rnacentral:rRNA from 1 species